UACAGAGGGUGCGAGCGUUAAUCGGAAUUACUGGGCGUAAAGCGCGUGUAGGCGGAUAUUUAAGUCGAAUGUGAAAGCCCUGGGCUUAACCUAGGAAGUGCAUGCGAUACUGAAUAUCUAGAGUAUGGUAGAGGAGAGUGGAAUUUCCGGCGUAGCGGUGAAAUGCGUAGAUACCGGAAGGAACACCAGUGGCGAAAGCGGCUCUCUGGGCCAAUACUGACGCUGAGACGCGAAAGCGUGGGGAGCAAACAGG
rnacentral:rRNA from 1 species